GCAGCUUACACAUGCAGUCGAGCGGGGAAGUAUAGCUUGCUAUACGACCUAGCGGCGGACGGGUGAGUAAUGCUUAGGAAUCUGCCUAUUAGUGGGGGACAACAUUCCGAAAGGAAUGCUAAUACCGCAUACGCCCUACGGGGGAAAGCAGGGGAUCUUCGGACCUUGCGCUAAUAGAUGAGCCUAAGUCAGAUUAGCUAGUUGGUGGGGUAAAGGCCUACCAAGGCGACGAUCUGUAGCGGGUCUGAGAGGAUGAUCCGCCACACUGGGACUGAGACACGGCCCAGACUCCUACGGGAGGCAGCAGUGGGGAAUAUUGGACAAUGGGCGCAAGCCUGAUCCAGCCAUGCCGCGUGUGUGAAGAAGGCCUUUUGGUUGUAAAGUACUUUAAGCGAGGAGGAGGCUACUUGGAUUAAUACUCUAGGAUAGUGGACGUUACUCGCAGAAUAAGCACCGGCUAACUCUGUGCCAGCAGCCGCGGUAAUACAGAGGGUGCGAGCGUUAAUCGGAUUUACUGGGCGUAAAGCGUGCGUAGGCGGCUUUUUAAGUCGGAUGUGAAAUCCCUGAGCUUAACUUAGGAAUUGCAUUCGAUACUGGGAAGCUAGAGUAUGGGAGAGGAUGGUAGAAUUCCAGGUGUAGCGGUGAAAUGCGUAGAGAUCUGGAGGAAUACCGAUGGCGAAGGCAGCCAUCUGGCCUAAUACUGACGCUGAGGUACGAAAGCAUGGGGAGCAAACAGGAUUAGAUACCCUGGUAGUCCAUGCCGUAAACGAUGUCUACUAGCCGUUGGGGCCUUUGAGGCUUUAGUGGCGCAGCUAACGCGAUAAGUAGACCGCCUGGGGAGUACGGUCGCAAGACUAAAACUCAAAUGAAUUGACGGGGGCCCGCACAAGCGGUGGAGCAUGUGGUUUAAUUCGAUGCAACGCGAGACCUUACCUGGUCUGA
rnacentral:rRNA from 1 species